AGAGGGAAGAAGGUAUGAGGAACUUGUCUUAACAGGGCUAAUGUGUUAUUCUGAAGUACAGUGGGAAAGCUUUGAUGUCGUUUUUAAGUACUCAAAAGACAUUUUUUUCUGCCUGUGCUUUGGUAAACCUAAGCAUCAAAUUGAAACAGUUUUAUAUUUCAGGGAAUAAUCGAAUGAAAGGCUAGAAGCCCCUUAAAGGUCAAAGACUCCAAUCCUCUCUUUGCAACCACCUUAACAUGUCAAUUACAGAACAGUUGAACAGUUUUGUUUUGACUGUAGCUUUCUCUGUUUUGUCAGUCAGUGUUUCCUCUAAAACUCUUAGAAACAAUUCAGUACAAUAAGAUUGUUUUGUUUUCUGAAAAAGUCCUGCUAACCAACACAUUUGGGGGGGGCAAUGUUGAUUUAUCAAUAGAUCCAUGUUUUUUCUCUUCAGCAUCCCUGGGGGAGAGCCCAGGUUAUUUUUAAGAAGACAGUAGAGGAAAAGAGAAGAGUGUACAUCGAAAGUCUUCUGAAAGAUAGGAGCUGCAAGGAAGUACUGGGCUUUUUUCUGUACAACCUCAGCAUCUUGAGUAGUAUUGGUCUUGUCAGGUCUCUGAGGGAGGAUUGCAUCAUCCUUACCGAAGACUCCCUGAGCUUUGGGUGUUCUGUAACUGCCCAUGUCCUUUCUACUCCCCGCCACCAAGGAGAAGAGUGACAGAUUGCUGGCUGAGAGCAUCGGAAUGGCUGUUGGCUAAUGACUGCCAUAAAUUCCGGUAAUCACAACAGCAAUGAUAAAUAAUAUAAAACAAUAGUGUGGCAGCGGAUGAUAUGCAUGCUACUCAGACUCCUGUUUCAAGAAUUUUUAAACAUUUCUAAGGAGACUUGUAAGAAUUUGGGGUCACGUGGGUCCACUUGGCCACAAGGUCUUGACAAGCGGUAAUGAGCUGGCUGUUUCUUGAAGGGCAGACAGAAAGACAGAGAGCCACCCAUCCUGCAUCAGAACUGCAUGAGGGAGAAGUAAACCUUUGUGCUUGGCUA
rnacentral:lncRNA from 1 species